rnacentral:rRNA from 1 species
AUUGAACGCUGGCGGCAUGCUUUACACAUGCAAGUCGAACGGUAACAGGCCGCAAGGUGCUGACGAGUGGCGAACGGGUGAGUAAUGCAUCGGAACGUGCCCAGUCGUGGGGGAUAACUACUCGAAAGAGUAGCUAAUACCGCAUACGAUCUAUGGAUGAAAGCGGGGGACCGUAAGGCCUCGCGCGAUUGGAGCGGCCGAUGUCAGAUUAGGUAGUUGGUGGGGUAAAGGCUCACCAAGCCAACGAUCUGUAGCUGGUCUGAGAGGACGACCAGCCACACUGGGACUGAGGCACGGCCCAGACUCCUACGGGAGGCAGCAGUGGGGAAUUUUGGACAAUGGGCGCAAGCCUGAUCCAGCAAUGCCGCGUGCAGGAAGAAGGCCUUCGGGUUGUAAACUGCUUUUGUACGGAACGAAACGGCUCUGGUUAAUACCCGGGGCUAAUGACGGUACCGUAAGAAUAAGCACCGGCUAACUACGUG